GUGCAGCAGGCGAGAAACCUCCGCAAUGCGGGCAACCGUGACGGGGUCACCCCGAGUGCCCCCUCGUGGGGGCUUUUCCCGCUGUAGGAAGGCGGGGGAAUAAGCGGGGGCAAGACUGGUGUCAGCCGCCGCGGUAAUACCAGCCCGCGAGUGGUCGGGGUGAUUAUUGGGCCUAAAGCGCCCGUAGCCGGCCCGGCAAGUCUCCCUCUAAAGCCCCGGGCUCAACCCGGGGAGUGGGGGAGAUACUGCCGGGCUAGGGGGCGGGAGAGGGCCGAGGGGUACUCCCGGGGUAGGGGCGAAAUCCUAUAAUCCCGGGAGGACCACCAGUGGCGAAGGCGCUCGGCUGGAACGCGCCCGACGGUGAGGGGCGAAAGCCGGGGGAGCGAACCGGAUUAGAUACCCGGGUA
rnacentral:rRNA from 1 species